AUACGUAGGGGGCGAGCGUUGUCCGGAAUGACUGGGCGUAAAGGGCGUGUAGGCGGCGGUGUAAGUCUGGAGUGAAAGUCCCGCAUUCAAUGUGGGAAUUGCUUUGGAUACUGCAGUGCUAGAGUGCGGAAGAGGUAAGUGGAAUUCCCAGUGUAGCGGUGAAAUGCGUAGAGAUUGGGAGGAACACCAGUGGCGAAGGCGACUUACUGGGCCGUAACUGACGCUGAGGCGCGAAAGUGUGGGGAGCAAACAGGAUUAGAUACCCUGGUAGUCCACACUGUAAACGAUGAAUGCUAGGUGUAGGGGGUAUCGACCCCUUCUGUGCCGCAGUCAACACAAUAAGCAUUCCGCCUGGGGAGUACGGCCGCAAGGUUGAAACUCAAAUGAAUUGACGGGG
rnacentral:rRNA from 1 species